GACAGAGGGUGCAAACGUUGUUCGGAAUUACUGGGCGUAAAGCGCGUGUAGGCUGCUCAGAAAGUCGGAUGUGAAAGCCCUGGGCUUAACCUAGGAAGUGCAUUCGAAACUUCUGAGCUUGAGUUCUGGAGAGGAAGGCGGAAUUCGUCGGUGUAGAGGUGAAAUUCGGUAGAUAUCGAGAGGAACACCGGUGGCGAAGGCGGCCUUCUGGACAGUGACUGACGCUGAGACGCGAAAGCGUGGGGAGCAAACAGG
rnacentral:rRNA from 1 species